UUAGAGAAGAAAGGCCGAGCAAGGGCCAUUGCCGCUUCUGCUCCGGGUAAGAGGAGGGUUCCCUCCCUCCUCUCUCGGCCUGGCCACCGCAAAAUCGGGAGCUUGCACAUGGCAUCGCACCCCUGCAGCCGAGCCGGGAGGGCGCUAAACCCAGUCUCCCUCCAUCCCCCCUCUUAGUCUGUCGCACGGCACAGGCUUGUCACAACUUUUCAUGCGCAUGUGAGUGAAUGUUUUGGGAGGAACACAAUCCUGCCUUUCGAAUCGUUAGCGGGAGGCACACCGACCUUGGCGAAACAAAAUCGAGCCCCGUGCAUUCAUUUCCUGGUCUUCGUUUGUUUUUUUUUUGCAGCCACGCUUUUACGACGUGAUUCAUCUUCAAAAGAACAUUUGGCGUUUUCAUUGCUUUCCAUAGGCAAACAUUUUUAUGUUGUGUUGAAUACAAUCCGUGCUGCCCUGAAACCACCGGCAUAACGGCAGCGAUACACACAACUUCGCCCUGUGUUUUUAACACAUCCCAUGUCACAUUAUCUAUCGAUCAAGGAUGGAAACCCCGUUCAGGCUGAAUGAAAACACUUCAGCAACUUCCAUUCCCUGGGUCUGUCUCAAAUCCUCUUCAGUCUGCAACAUGUCCAUGUGAAAUUAAUUUUCUGGCCUCUGCUUCCACCCAAGCAACCAAGCACCGUCCUCUCAAUGCCAAGCCCCAGGUGCGGUGGUUUUGCAGCGUUCCCAGCAGUCAUUCGGCUCAAGCACCCUUCGCCUUUGUCCAAGCAAUCGAUCCAUGACAGACAAGCCUGCUCUUUCCUUCGCUGUGGAGAGAUUUCCCGUCAGGACUGUGCUACAAGAGAGGCAGAGGCUUUGCCUGACAAGGCUUACAGACCUUCCUGCAGGGGCCUGGAGGCCCUAACAUCAUGCAGGCAGGCAUUCCGUGCCCACAUUUAGAGACCUUCCUUCAGACUGGUCUCAUGCUACUCACAAAGUCUUACAACCUACUGUUUUCUGUAUUUAUCCUUUGCAUCUUGAGUCAUUACAAAUGUGACUGUGCACCGGAGACCUUUUCCUUCUCUAGAGUGAUCAGUAGCUGUGCUUGAGUGGGCUGCUGACAUUUUCUGAACCUGUUUACACCUUAAUCAGAAGUUUGCUCAUAACUGCUAUUUACUGAACUGUUUGGGGGUUUUGUGUUUUUUGGUUGGUUGGUUGAGGGUUUUGUUGUAGACUUCAAAAUGUGCUCAACUUCAUUAUUGAAAUAAAUAGUUCCUGCUUGAAAUCUCACCAAAGUUGCUGGCAAGUCACUGUUGUCAGAGGGCUUUAGGGUCAGACCUGUACCUUUCAAAACAUUCUUUUU